AAAGGCCAGCCUUGAGCAGGCUUCCCCCUCGGCCUGGCAGCCGGGCUCUCCUGUUCAGCCCCCAUCCCAUGGAGGGGCAGAGUUUGAGGAGGACGGGAGUGAUGCCCGAGCGAGGGCACUCUCUGAAGCUGGCAUCUCCUCCAGGGUGCCAACAGGGUCCCUCCUCCUGCCCUGGCUGCAGCCUCCUGAAGGGUGAUGAUAUUUCUGUGUGGUCGCCAUAAAGGAUAACGUUGCCACUGCUGCCAGCCGCGCCUCGACGCCGGGACGGACAGCCCACCGGGGACCGCCGGGACCCGGCGAACAAGCCCCCGAUGCAGCCCGGUCCGGCAGCCCCUGCGGAGGAGGAGGAGGAGAGGCCAAAGCAAGUCGCCCUGGCCGCCACCGUCGUGACCAGGAAGAGACGCUCCACCCUCCUCCCUGAGCGACGGAGGGCCCCCCGCCCCCGGGGACCGGCCCAUCGGUGGCCUGUUGCCAGCAGGCGAGGGCGGGUCUGUUAGGCUUGGCACCCCCACCCCCACCCCCCGCGCUUGCCCGCCCGGCUGCUCCGGGGGGGUUGUUGGGCACGCGCGGGUCCCCCCCCCGGGGGGGAUUGCACGCGGGGAGGAAAAGGGGCCUCUGAAGG